AUUGAACGCUGGCGGCAUGCCUUACACAUGCAAGUCGAACGGCAGCACGGGGGCAACCCUGGUGGCGAGUGGCGAACGGGUGAGUAAUACAUCGGAAUGUACCCAGUAGUGGGGGAUAACUAGUCGAAAGAUUAGCUAAUACCGCAUACGCACUAUGGUGGAAAGCGGGGGAUCGCAAGACCUCGCGCUAUUGGAGCAGCCGAUGUCGGAUUAGCUAGUUGGUGGGGUAAAGGCCUACCAAGGCGACGAUCCGUAGCGGGUCUGAGAGGAUGAUCCGCCACACUGGGACUGAGACACGGCCCAGACUCCUACGGGAGGCAGCAGUGGGGAAUUUUUGGGACAAUGGGGGCAACCCUGAUCCAGCCAUGCCGCGUGAGUGAAGAAGGCCUCGGUGUAAG
rnacentral:rRNA from 1 species